rnacentral:piRNA from 1 species
UGGACCCUUGAUCUCAUUUUCAUGUCUUGUGU